GCGGUCGUGGCGAAGUGGUGAACGCAUCGGAUUGUGGCUCCGACACUCGGGGGUUCGAUUCCCCUCGAUCGCC
rnacentral:tRNA from 2 species